rnacentral:lncRNA from 1 species
CUCACCCUCGAUGGUGCCCUCGACCUGUCCUCCCUCAGCAGCCUGUGGCAUCCAGACCAGUUCGUGGCCCCUAGGAGGGGAAACUGAGUCCCAGCCCCAGGGUCCUCCCUCGGCUUCACUGGGUGCCCCAUGGAGGAGAUAGUCAGGAUGUGUCACCUGACAGGCUCACCAGAACCGGCACAGCAGCUGCUGAGUUUUGGCUCCCGGACCCUGGAGCCCCUGCCGCCGAGGCUGGGGAUGGCGGCUCCAGAGGUCAUUCCUCCCCCGGAAGACACACGCUGGCCUUGGGCCAGGGGACCCUCAGCGACGGGGUCACCCCAACGUUCUGGAGGCUGCGGUUCUGCUUCCUCCUGGGGCUGAGCUGAGCAAGCUCUAGCUCUCGGGCCGAGCGCAAGGAGGGCAGGAGUGAUGUCUCCAACUGUGCUGAGGUCUGCCCUGGGUGCAAGGGCCCUGUGUUUUCAGCACUGCCGUGUGGCCCGUGGAUGCCCUAGGCCCCUGGACAGUUGAUGCCUGGGGUCCACACUCCUGGACAGGGCUCUGGACAGUUGAUGCCUGGGGUCCACACUCCUGGACAGGCCCCUGGACAGUUGAUGCCUGGGGUUCACACUCCUGGACAGGCCCCUGGACAGUUGAUGCCUGGGGUUCACACUCCUGGACAGGGCUCUGGACAGUUGAUGCCUGGGGUCCACACUCCUGGACAGGCCCCUGGACAGUUGAUGCCUGGGGUCCACACUCCUGGACAGGGCUGAGGAGGUGGUGUCCCCAGACUUGCCCCAGCACAGCUGUGGGGGGCACCCGGACACCCGCCCCAGCCUCAGUCUCCCAUCCCAGCUGGCCCUGACAUGGGUGCAUGUGACGCCCUCCUGGUCUUGGCCUCUCAGACCCAGCUCAGCCAUGGCCAUCCAGACCCUUGGGCUCCGGUGUCUUCCCAAAGCUCUGAGAAGCACCCCCUUGGGGCAGCCAGACCCCUGACCACCCUCCGAACCUCUGCUGGACUCCCUGUGGCCCAGUCCGGAAGGGUUCUCCUCGGAACAGAGGGCAGAUGAGGCAAGAGUCGGUCCGAGUUCUGCCCUCUGGCACCGGCAGUGCUGUGAGGGCCCACGGGGCGGCUCAGUGGUCCCCAGGGACCUCAGCCUUCGGGAAAGUGCAGCAGAGACCUCAAGGCCCCCCGCGCUCAGCUAACGUCGCCCUCGCUCAUCCAGAGCACAGCCCGAGCUGCAGGAGGGCCAGGAGGGCAGAUGCUCCACAGCUCGGACAGCAUCCAUAAGACCCGCAUGGAGAAAACAGCAAAGGCCGGUGUGGGACGGAGAGGACGUGAACGGCGAGUGCUCGGAGAACAAGCACGCCAGCAGCGAACCCAGGGGGACCAGCCCAACAGCCAGUGCUCUGAGACACCGGCCAACGGCAAUGCCCCAUCCUCACCGCGAACGCCACUGUGACGCGCUGACAGUGGAUGCGAAUGCGUGACACAGACAGCGAGUGCCAGUGUGACCGUCACGGCUGAUGCUGAGCACUGCACCGACACACCACAGAAUCUGCAGGCCCAGGGCUCAGCUCCUGCUUGCGGGGCGCAGGCCAGCCCCACCGUCCGAUGUACAGACCAGCAUGGGCACCUUAGGCCUCUCCACCCUCCUCUGCCCAGAGCCUGCCACCAUCCGUGUUGCACAAGGGCCAGGUGCUGCACAGAGAGGCCACGUGCCUUGCCCCAGGCUGCCAGCUCCAGAGAAUGGUCCGGGGACGCCAUGGUCAUCUGGCCCCAGGACUGCUCCUGACCCUCCUGGGACGGAUCCUCCAGGCAGAGAGGGGACGCCAUGGUCAUCCGGCCCCAGGGCUGCUCCUGACCCUCCUGGGAUGGAUCCUCCAGGCAGAGAGGGGACGCCAUGGUCAUCCGGCCCCAUGGCUGCUCCUGACCCUCCUGGGAUGGAUCCUCCGGGCAGAGAGGGAAUGAAUCACAUUCCGGAUGGUGGCUUCAGGUCAGAAAGCUGCCAGGUCACCCAGGUGCCAUGCGAGCUGCUCCCCAGAGACGGCUUUCGGCCUUGGGUUUAUCACAGCGGCUGUUUUCCGUCUGCCAAGCCAAGCCUGGCUUUCAUCUCCCCUCGCACAACGGUCUGCUUCCUCAGCCUCUGGGCUUAUAGUGGUUUUCUUUUCUACUGUCUGAAAUUGAAUGUUUAGUUCAUCUAUUUUCUAUUCUCUCAUUUAUAAUAAAAACAUUUCAGAUGAGAA